AGUGAACGCUGGCGGUAGGCCUAACACAUGCAAGUCGAACGGCAGCACAGUAAGAGCUUGCUCUUACGGGUGGCGAGUGGCGGACGGGUGAGGAAUACAUCGGAAUCUACUUUUUCGUGGGGGAUAACGUAGGGACACUUACGCUAAUACCUCAUACGACCUACGGGUUAAAGCAGUGGAUCUUCGGACCUUGCGCGAUUGAAUUAGCCGAUGUCGGAUUAGCUAGUUGGCGGGGUAAAGGCCCACCAAGGCGACGAUCCGUAGCUGGUCUGAGAGGAUGAUCAGCCACACUGGAACUGAGACACGGUCCAGACUCCUACGGGAGGCAGCAGUGGGGAAUAUUGGACAAUGGGCGCAAGCCUGAUCCAGCCAUACCGCGUGGGUGAAGAAGGCCUUCGGGUUGUAAAGCCCUUUUGUUGGGGAAGAAAAGCAGCAGGUUAAUACCCCGCUGUUCUGACGGUACCCAAAGAAUAAGCACCGGCUAACUUCGUG
rnacentral:rRNA from 1 species